CCGUCAGAGGGAUGAUGUAUUACUUCCGAGCUCUCAAAAUGCUGUCCUUUCUCGACUGUUCGACGGAGAUGGACGUAAAAC
rnacentral:snoRNA from 1 species